rnacentral:misc_RNA from 1 species
CGCACAUUGCGCCCUUUGGUAUUCCGAGGGGCAUGCCUGUUCGAGCGUCAUUUCAACCCUCAAGCUCUGCUUGGUAUUGGGCCUGGCUGCCAUGGCCGGCCUUAAAAUCAGUGGCGGUGCCGUCUUGGCUCCAAGCGUAGUACAUCUCUCGCUCUGGAGGCCGGGUGGUGUCUAGCCAGACAACCCCAAUUGUCUUCUAUGGUUGACCUCGGAUCAGGUAGGGAUACCCGCUGAACUUAA